AAGGAAGUCUGGUGGAUGGACUUGAGCGUGCAUAAUGCAGUGUAGAUGCAGGAACCCAAGUUGGGACCCAGGGUUGAACAAUUCGUAACCUGGGGUUACAAAUGAGGGUAGAUGCUCAACCCCUAAGUUAACAGACCCAGAGUCUGCUAACUUGAAUUCUACUAACCCAGGGCAGUGUAGACAUACCCAGAGCAUCUAGGGGCUUCAAAUCUGAGGCUUAGAACCCUGAGCCAUUCUCUCUGACCUACAGUUAGCUUACUGGGGAGGUGAAAAGAAAAGAGGAACACAAAGAAAAUUCCUGAAAGCACAAAGCUGGGCAAUUCAACCCACUGGAGAGAGAGAGAGAGAGAUACACACACACCAACCUUACUUAAUACAUGGCAGAUGUCUGGCUGGAUAUUUUACCAAUGUGCAUUUGAGACCCAAAGAAGCCUUAAAGGGACCCUGUUAACCAGGGGAAAGAGCAAUAGCUGCCCAUGAUUCCAGUGAGAGAGACAAGGGGAAGGGCCGUGCAAGGUUGCAAGGCCCUUGCUGGGGCACUGCAGAAG